ACCAACAGCUCGCCAGUUUGUUUCCGUUGGGGAAAGAUGUUGUGGAGGCUGAGGGUGUGUGGUGCGCCCCCGUACUCGACCAUCCACGGCGAGCGCCGCCCAGGGAGCUACAGUACCGCUGCGCGCCGCCCUCACAGGUGAUCCCGUCCACGAGCACCCACCCCUCCUCUGAAAUCGGCACCCAGCGGCCGAGCCACGAGCAGACGAGGAGGUGGACUGACGCGGUUGCCGAUGUGCUCUUCGUGUCGUUCAACUAGGCGCGCCUCCUCGGCAGACCGACCAUGGCGGUGGCCAUGCACGUGACGGUGGCGGGCGGGCACGUACGACUACCGCCGAGUGUCUUCAUAUGCACUCAUGACAGCUGCAGUAGGAGGGCGGACGGCCUGAGCAGCCAGACGGCGCUGCACGCUCCGCCGCCAUUGAACAUACAUGGCCGCGUGUGGCCUUCGCUGCCGCCAGCCUGCUCGUGUUGAGUCCAUGCCAUAAACCUCCUGUCUUCACCCCACCGAGGUCGGCACUUGUACUGCACACAGGCGGCGUCUCGUAGGUACGCACGCAACCUCUGUUUCUCUAUGCGAUGGUCUGCGGUGGUGGAUGUUGGCGAUGGUGUGGUGUCCCCAGUGAGAUACUGUUGGCGGCCUACUCUACUCUCCUGAGAAGAUACUCGAUGGAGGACUGCAGCAGCAAAUGAACAAAGUCGACCGAUUUUGGCUUCUAUGCGGAAAAUGUCGGGGUGAUUUCUUUUACUUAUUUGUUGCAACCAAUGGAGAUCUAUUGCAUAUAAUAUUUCUGCAUGGAUGUGUCUGAGAUGUCGCAACUUUUUUCAUACACAAGAAGAAUGUUGCAACGUUGCUGCAUACGUAGAAAUAAAAUAUUGCAGAUGGAUCUUUGCUCUCAUAGCGAUGAAUGUACACACACGAGAAGCAACAUUUUAAGUUGAAUUGGAGGGUGGGGAGCAGCCGAUCAGGCACACCCCCUGCCUGACCGACGCUUAGCGUCUCCCUCAUAAGUGUUAACCUCCUUGAUAUCCCAUCUUAGGAAUUUUAUGAGAUACAGUAAGUUAAAUGCAAUCCCACGGUUUGUUACAUUACCGUUUCAACCAAUGCUGCCUCCACAAAUCACGAACAGGCAUUUUCCACCUCCUGCUGCAAAGAAAAAGUCGGAAAAGAAGAUUAAGGGUUCGAUAGAGGCGACAACUUCAAAAGAAGAGGUGUUCAGCUACUGUAAAGAAGACAGCUUCAAAAGAAGAGUCUUUCACCCCAGAAAGCACGUUGACAAGUUCAAAGUCAAGUGGAAACCACAAAGAGGCGUUCAGCCUAGAACAGGGUCCACUCGUCAAUGACUUGAUCGCUGCAUUUGUUUCGUCGUGUACCCCGGCUCGAUCGGGUGUUGACGCAUGGCGCCGUGCAAGUUGUAAACUUAUUAAGUAUGACGACGUGGUGCUGCUCAUUAGCCAGCUAAUGUGAGAACUAAUGAAUUACCACUUUCAUAAUUAAGUACUCAUUCAAUGUUGAUUGU